rnacentral:rRNA from 1 species
UACGAAGGGGGCUAGCGUUGUUCGGAAUCACUGGGCGUAAAGCGCACGUAGGCGGAUCCUUAAGUCAGGGGUGAAAUCCCGAGGCUCAACCUCGGAACUGCCUUUGAUACUGUGGAUCUUGAGUCCGGGAGAGGUGAGUGGAAUUGCGAGUGUAGAGGUGAAAUUCGUAGAUAUUCGCAAGAACACCAGUGGCGAAGGCGGCUCACUGGCCCGGUACUGACGCUGAGACGCGAAAGCGUGGGGAGCAAACAGG